GUAUGGUCUUCCUAAUAAUCCUUUAGGUGGGUUUACUUUAACAAAUUUGAUGCCUUAACUAUCUUUAACAUUGUUUAAGUUAUCGUUAAAAAUGUAAUUUCCUAUGAAGAAAAUUAAUGGUGUUUUUAUUUCCAGAACCCGACCCAAGCAUCAUUGCAACAUUCAGUCACACUGUCGGAACUUUAUCAAAGGAUAAGAUUCAUCGCAAAAGCAAAUAAUUGCCAAAAUGGCGCCGACCCGCUGAGGCAUGGACCCCUGAAGGUGUCCUGUGGAGCCGCUGUGGAUCAAACUAGCACAUCCCACAGAUGAUCAAUUAGAUUGAGAUCUGGGAAAUGUGGAGGCCACGGCAACACCUUGAACUCUUCAUCAUGUUCCUCAAACCAUUCCUGAACAAUGUGUGCAGUGUGUCAGGAUGCAUUAUCCUUCUGAAGGAGACAACUUCCACCAGGGAACACCACUGCCAUGAAGGGAUGUACCUGGUCUCCAACAAUGUUUAGAGUCAGACAGAUUCGGGCAGACACCUCACAAAGAUCAUGAGCUUGAAAUAAGGAAAUCCAAUUGACGGAGCGUGAUUAGGAGAGGAAGUGAGAGAGGCUCAGGAGAAUGGCAGAGAAGGUGCCAGGAGGACAUGGAGCCGAGAGCUCACACACUGCUCUGUUCUGUGACCUGCUGCAUUUAACGGGAUUGGCUGAUGGACUGGGGACUGAGCCAUUAAUCUUUCUUUCUUCUUAUCCAAUUACAGCACCUAUAGGCUACAGCGGAGCAAAGCAAAGUGGGAAAAGCAGAGCCAACUCACAACAUCCAGAGGGGAUGUAAAGAUACAGUUCACACCAAAAUGAUAAUUUACUCAUUAUUUACUCACCCUUUCCAAAGUCUUUCCAAACCUGAAUGUUGUGUUUGUUUUUUGUUAGUUUUUUUCAGUGGAACGGAAAAGUGGAAGUUUUUGAAGAAUUUUUUCGCAGCUCUUUUCCAUACAACAACAGUAUAUAGUAACAGGUUCAUCUAGAAGAAAAAAUCCUAAAAAAGUUAGUCAAUACAACUAUAUUUACACUAUAUUCCAAGUCUUCUGAUGUCAUAUCUUAGCGUCAGAAACAGAUUGAAAAGUUGUUUUCCCCUUUCCCUUUGAUUUUGUGCCUAGCACAAAAUAUAUACACAACAUAUUUCUUAUUUAAUUUAAUUCUAAAGUCAUAUUGAGAGGGGAAAAUAGUCCAGAAAAAAUGGCUUUGGUGCCAAAAAUUUACAAGUAUGCCUCAUGAUGGAAAAAUAUGUCCCGUCUAUGAUGUGAUCCUUUUGAUCUAGUGAAUAUGAUCUAGUCAGUUAUGAUCGGUUUGAGGUUAUUAGAUCAUGAGAGGUGGUAGAAUGGGAAUAGUGGAAAGCAAAGCAGUGUUUAAAUCUGCUAGACACAGUAGACAAUUAGGCUUAAAUGCUGCCAUUAUCUGUAUGGCCCAGCUGUCUUUGCAGAAUGAUUUCUGGUGGUAUCAGAUGGUUUUGGAUGAGUAAUCAGAGAUCAUGCUGUUUGGCGUAGGCUCCAACAGAGGAGCAUUACAGAACCGGCUACACGCUAGUGGACAAUAUCACUGUAAUGGAAAAGAAAACUAGUUUCCCUCCUAUAAGUAUCAACAUUUAACUUUUUAUUGAUCAUUGAUGUUUUUUAUCAUAGUGCUGUUGCCGCUUUAGAGCAGUUUUACACAUUAGACAUGGUAAAAUCACUGUGACGGACAGCCUCGAGUGGCCUAUUGCUUUAUUUGAGAACAGUCUGAGCAUACUAAUAAAAUCUGCGCAGAACAAACAAACCUGAUGUGGUAAUAAGGUUAACAGGAUGUGCAGGCACUUUACUUGUUUUUUCGCUUCUGUUCUCCAUGUAUAAAGUCUUAAUUAGGUCAUUCAGAAAGGGAGUUAUUGGAUUAUGGGAGCAAAUGCAACAUCUUAUUUGUGUGGAUCAGAUGUGUUAUGGCCCUGAGUGUUGCAUUUAUUUGUUUAUAGUGAACGCAGCAUGAAUCCUGACAUCCUCCUUAUAGACGGCAUUAUUCUUUGUGUACAAACGAGCCAUUUUUGUUAUCUCCUGAGAGGUUAAAUCUCUGUCUCAAGGGAUGUGCUCUUUCUGAUUCUGACUCUUAUAAUGAGCAGAAAAUCAUCAGUGUCUUUUUUUUUUUUUUGAA